rnacentral:rRNA from 1 species
GACGAACGCUGGCGGCGUGCUUAACACAUGCAAGUCGAACGGAAAGGCCCUGCUUUUGUGGGGUGCUCGAGUGGCGAACGGGUGAGUAACACGUGAGUAACCUGCCCUUGACUUUGGGAUAACUUCAGGAAACUGGGGCUAAUACCGGAUAGGAGCUCCUGCUGCAUGGUGGGGGUUGGAAAGUUUCGGCGGUUGGGGAUGGACUCGCGGCUUAUCAGCUUGUUGGUGGGGUAGUGGCUUACCAAGGCUUUGACGGGUAGCCGGCCUGAGAGGGUUACCGGCCACAUUGGGACUGAGAUACGGCGCAGACUCCUACGGGAGGCAGCAGGGGGGAAUAUUGCACAAUGGGCGGAAGCCUGAGGCAGCAACGCCGCGUGCGGGAUGACGGCCUUCGGGUUGUAAACCGCUUUCGCCUGUGACGAAGCGUGAGUGACGGUAAUGGGUAAAGAAGCACCGGCUAACUACGUG